CCCAGACCGGCAACAUCCGUAUUACUUGGAACCUAGUCAAGUGUGAGCCCAUUGAAAUUCUACUGAUGUAAAAAGCGUAUUUGUUUUCAUUUGGAAGGAGCCUUCGGAACCUCUGCUGCCACCUUCUCAUUUUACAGAUGAGGACCUGAAAGGGGGAAGGUUUUACUGACCUGCCAGGUUAGACGGCAAGUUCCUGACGCUGGGUCUGAGGAAGAGAGAUCUCAGGCUCAGCACCAGCACCAGCCCCCACCUUCCAUCUGUGCAUGCUCUCUUCAAUCCUGGAAGGAAAUCAUAAGUGAUUUGCCCCAAAAGGAUUGCUCUUGAGUGAGUAAAGAGAUAAACUUUCUUAUAAUUAUUAAUCACUACUGUU
rnacentral:lncRNA from 1 species